rnacentral:rRNA from 1 species
CCUACGGGAGGCAGCAGUGAGGAAUAUUGGUCAAUGGGCGUAAGCCUGAACCAGCCAAGUCGCGUGAGGGAUGAAGGUUCUAUGGAUCGUAAACCUCUUUUAUAAGGGAAUAAAGUGUGGGACGUGUCCUAUUUUGUAUGUACCUUAUGAAUAAGGAUCGGCUCACUCCGUGCCAGCAGCCGCGGUAAUACGGAGGAUCCGAGCGUUAUCCGGAUUUAUUGGGUUUAAAGGGUGCGUAGGCGGCCUUUUAAGUCAGCGGUGAAAGUCUGUGGCUCAACCAUAGAAUUGCCGUUGAAACUGGGGGUCUUGAGUAUGUUUGAGGCAGGCGGAAUGCGUGGUGUAGCGGUGAAAUGCUUAGAUAUCAGGAAGAACCCCGAUUGCGAAGGCAGCCUGCCAAGCCAGUACUGACGCUGAUGCACGAAAGCGUGGGGAUCAAACAGGAUUAGAUACCCGAGUAGUC